UACGUAGGUGACCAGCGUUGUCCGGAUUUACUGGGCGUAAAGAGCGCGCAGGCGGUCGUUCAAGUCGAGUGUGAAAGCCCCCGGCUCAACUGGGGAGGGUCACUCGAUACUGAUCGACUUGAAGGCAGGAGAGGGAAGCGGAAUUCCCGGUGUAGUGGUGAAAUGCGUAGAUAUCUGGAGGAACACCGGUGGCGAAGGCGGCAUCCUGGACCGGUAUUGACGCUGAGGCGCGAAAGCCAGGGGAGCAAACGGG
rnacentral:rRNA from 1 species